UACUGUUGCUGACUCUAAUAAAAUGAG
rnacentral:piRNA from 1 species